AGGGAUUGGUGGAAGGUCUGCCGAGCCCAACCUGGCUUCUCAGCCACCUGACAAUGUUGACGGCAAUAUAGGUUUCUCCCAAAGAAGCAUAAUUAGCAUUUCAAAACAAGGGUUAGUCACUUGGAUCCUUCACUAAACUGGCUCAGUCUGCAACAACACGCACCUGUGGGUGGUGGGUGGGCUUGGGGGAGAUCCUGAAGUGGAGAACAUCGCUUGGCCUUAAUGUCGUGGGUGCGCGUAAGGGCAUCGUGCCAGGAAGCCCUUGGAGAAACAAAAGUGGGGUGGUGUUUGCAGCAGCUCACAGGUGCUCUCCACCUGCAGGAAGGGUUGGGGCAGCAGGGAUUGCUUGGCCCUAGCUGAACAUGUCAGUGGCACAGUCGGGGCUUGAUUACCGAUCCUGUAGCUCACUGAGACCCAUAGGUGAGAAAGGUUUCCCCUGGUGGUACAAGUCCUUCAAGCCUGAACCCUGGACGGCGGAGACCUUGUUUUCUGUGACUUGAAGCUCAGGGUCCCUGAAUGAGCCGGACAGGUUCCCCGGGUGAAAAGCCUAGUUAGUCUGCAGCUAUUUCAAAUUUUCUAACAAAUCCUUGGGACGUUGGGUCAGGGAAGUAAGAUGUCUUUCCUACAUUCAGAGUUCCAGCGGCUGGGAGAACUUGGAGAAGGGGGAUUCGAUGCUGUUAAGGGGCAGCUUUGCCCUCUGAAAGGAAUUGGGGGAAUGGUGCUGAGGCAGCCGGGCUUCCCACGUGUUGGGGUUGGGGACUGGUCAGGAACCAGGGCCCGGAAAAAUGAGGUGACUACAAGGAUAACAGAGCAUUCCCCCAUUUUGAGCAGAAAAGCCCUCACCAAGCUCCAGGCCUUCUGCUCCACGGCCUCCUGUGGGAGCCUGUCUUCAUGGUGACCUGUGACUGCAGGGGAAGGCAGGGACGCAGUCAGGGUGACCUGCCCUGGCUGCAUUCCCCUUUCAGCUGGGACAAGGAGAAUCUCAUUUGCAGCCUGGGUGGAUGCAGGGCACAGAAGAGGCUGGAGCGGGGUUUGGGGGCACGUUCUGUGUGAUGCCAAGUGUGACCCCCACGUGCAUGGGGAGCAGCGGGGAGGUGAGAGGACGCAUUCGCAGGAAGCACAAGGAGGGCAGGCUCUCGGCUGGUGGCUGUGGGGUGUGGGGGCCACACUGCUGGGUCCUGAUCCUGAGGUUGGGGCCAGUGGGGAGGGCUCUCUGUCUCCUGCCCAGGCUAAUGUGAGAGGUGGGGUGAGGCUCUAGGAAGCCUGUGUGGCCCACAGCAAGUGUCAUGUGCUAGCCGCGCACGCCCCUUCAGAGCGGAGCAACAGGAUUUCUGCAGUACGGAAAACACUGCCCUUUAGUAAACAGGUGUCAAGCCCAGUCACUGUGCCGGCUUGUUACCAAACCCAGUCACUGUGCCGGCUAGUUAUGGGCUGAAUCGUGCCCUACCCCUAACACUUGUAAAUAUGACCUUAUUUGGAAAUAAGGUCUUUGCAGAUGUAAUUGGAUAAGAGGAGGUCAUGCUGGCCUAGGCUGGGUCCUGAUCCAAUGACUGGUGUCCUUACAGGAGGAGAAAGACCCAGACAGACAGACGCAGAGGGAAGACGGGUCAUGUGAAGACAGAGACUGGAGUGAUGUGGCCCCAAGCCAAGGGCUGCCUGGGGGCUAGAACCACCAGAAGCUGGAGAGACAAGAGAGGAACCUUCUAGAGCCUCCGGAGGGAGCAGAUUGCUGCCGACACCUUGAUUUCAGACUCCAGAGCUGAGACAAUAACUCUCCGUUGCUUUAGGCCGCCGAGUCUGUGGUGCUUUGUUACGGCUGCCCCAGGAGGCUCACACACCAUCCCAUGACUGUCGAUUUCUGUAUAUAGCACAGAGGCCUUCUCCAGACACUGCUGCUGGCCCGAGUAUGAGAGGACACGGCGUGCUCCUACCGUUGUUCGUGGACAUCAAGUCGAUUUCAAAUCAUGGCGACCUCAGAGCGGCUGGUGGUUUCAAACCGCCGACCUUUCAGUUAGGAGCCCAGCGCUUAACCACUGUGCCAGCAGGGCUCCCUCAAGGCUUCCUUAGCCGGCGUCGUUUCUCCAGUUACCUCUACCUGCUGAGGGUCCCAAAAUGCCGCGCUUGGAGAAAGGAGGUGGAGCCUGAGGAAAAAAAAAGAAGCUGAAGUACAGCCUCCGUGAUUCAAAACUGCGAAUCUGCUCAGAUCGAAGCGGGAAAUGGAUAGUUUUGAUGACAAUUACAAAAAGAAAAAGGAGCCCUGGUGGUGCAACGGUUAAGCACUCGGCUGCUAACCGGAAGGUCAGCGGUUCAAACCCACCCAGCGGCUCUGUGGGAGCAACACCUGUCCAUCUGCUCCUGUAAAGAUCACAGCCUAAAAACCCUAUGGGCUCGUUCUACUCUGUCACAUGGGGCCACUGUGAGUCAGGAUCGACUCGGCGACACCCGUCAACAACAACACAGAAAGGGAAGUGCUCAUCCAGGAAGGGCACCAUCAACAAUCAGCAGGCAGGGAACUGGGCAGCAAAACCGUCAGUCUGAAACAAGUCACACCAGGAAGAUACAAGGAUCUGUACACCAACAAGGAGUCAGGGAAUUCUAGAGACACACAAGACAAGACAUGAAGGGGCAGCUCACAGAAGAUGAGACCACAAAGCCUACACGCGUCCUCAGAGGAAUGCAAA